ACCUGGCAGUCGACGUCAUCGUCACACACCCAGCUGGCAGGUAUGCAAGACGAGUUCCCACACUGAAACUCGCUGGGACCACAAGAGGACGGAGCACAAUCCACCUCGUCGGAGCCAUCACCGCAGUCAUCCUCGCCAUUACACACAAAGUUCCUGGAGAUGCAGCGACUGCUUGCACACGUGAACUCGUUGGGAGCACAGGUGACGUUACCUGGAGGCAGUCAGAGGGAGAGGAACAGAGCAUGAGUGUUGUGAAAGGGUUAACAGCUCAGCCACAAGGCCUUCAGCUGCUGUUGCUCCUCUCUGCAGUGUUUCCAUGUAGCUGUGCAUGUAUGUGCAAAGAUAAACCCAACAAGGACUCCUUAUGGAAAUCUGCUCUGUAGCUUACAAGAAGUCAAACUGCACCAAGAUGGAUAUCUGGUGUCCACUUACUCUUAUCACUGCAUAAUUUAAAAUCCAUCCUGCCUCCAUGCA